GAAAGGCGCUUUUGCGUCACUGAUGGAUGGACCCGCGGUGCAUUAGCUAGUUGGUGAGGUAACGGCUCACCAAGGCCACGAUGCAUAGCCGACCUGAGAGGGUGAUCGGCCACACUGGGACUGAGACACGGCCCAGACUCCUACGGGAGGCAGCAGUAGGGAAUCUUCGGCAAUGGACGAAAGUCUGACCGAGCAACGCCGCGUGAGUGAAGAAGGUUUUCGGAUCGUAAAACUCUGUUGUUAGAGAAGAACAAGGAUGAGAGUAAAAUGUUCAUCCCUUGACGGUAUCUAACCAGAAAGCCACGGCUAACUACGUGCCAGCAGCCGCGGUAAUACGUAGGUGGCAAGCGUUGUCCGGAUUUAUUGGGCGUAAAGCGAGCGCAGGCGGUUUCUUAAGUCUGAUGUGAAAGCCCCCGGCUCAACCGGGGAGGGUCAUUGGAAACUGGGAGACUUGAGUGCAGAAGAGGAGAGUGGAAUUCCAUGUGUAGCGGUGAAAUGCGUAGAUAUAUGGAGGAACACCAGUGGCGAAGGCGGCUCUCUGGUCUGUAACUGGCGCUGAGGCUCGAAAGCGUGGGGAGCGAACAGGAUUAGAUACCCUGGUAGUCCACGCCGUAAACGAUGAGUGCUAAGUGUUGGAGGGUUUCCGCCCUUCA
rnacentral:rRNA from 1 species